UUGAAGCCUCAGCUCAGCCUCAGUGUGUCGCCUGAUUAGACAAAGUUAGGUGGAAUAAGAGCUGCUGUGCUCUGAUAAGACACACAAAUACCAGCAGCUCCAUCCACACGUGUCACAAGAAGAAGGUCAGAGGUGACAACAUGGUUUCAUGGCUCAGGCACCAGCUUUACUUCACAGGACGUCAGACUUYAGGUGUGAAGAAUAAUAACAUUAAGGAUUGAGACGCUCAGUCUGAUUGGACCGUUUAGAGAUGAAGAGGAGGGAAGGAAGGCCUCUUCUAAACGGUCUGAAUUAUUCAUUCAGAUCAAGUGAACGAGGAAAUCAGUUUCUUCAUCUGAACCGGUCGGGUUGUGAAGGCAACAGGUCCAGGAGGAAAACCAAGACUUUCCUCUUCAGCUUCUUCAGGGGCAUCACAGGGGUUCUGCUUCUGUCCCAGGUCUGCUCCCAGUGGGUCAGAACCUCCAGAGGGAUCCUGAUCAUGUAACUGAACCACCUCAGCUGACUGUUUAACGAGGAGGAGCAGCAGAUCCACUCCAAGCUCAGCUGGCUGAUGGACCUCACCUUGAUUCUAACGCUGAACCCAGACACCCUACAGAAGAAGCCAGUUUCAGACCCAGGAUAAGGUUCCUGGUUCCUGGUUCUUUCCAAAUCAAACACUAUUUUCUCCCAGACUGCUCCCUGAGAUUCUGUUCAUGAACACCACAAACACUGAUGUGCCACAAAAGUGAAACAUGCAGCAGGAAAUAAAGACUGGUCUUGGUCCAGUAAUGCAGACACAGCUCUGUUUUAUUCUUCAGGUCCUGAAGAGUCCUUAAAGAGUUCUAGAGACAGAAGCAGCGGUUCAGAGUAAAAGUCUGAAAGGUUGUCGUGACAGAAUCAACGGUUCAAAGUACCAAAGUGCCUGUGACACCGUCUGUGUGUCAGGUAUUG